GACGAACGCUGGCGGCGUGCCUAACACAUGCAAGUCGAGCGGGGAACUUCGGUUCCCAGCGGCGGACGGGUGAGUAACACGUGGGUAACCUGCCUUGUAGAGGGGGAUAGCCUUCCGAAAGGAAGAUUAAUACCGCAUAACAUUGAGAUAUCGCAUGAUAUUUUAAUCAAAGGAGCAAUCCGCUACAAGAUGGACCCGCGGCGCAUUAGCUAGUUGGUGAGGUAACGGCUCACCAAGGCGACGAUGCGUAGCCGGCCUGAGAGGGUGAACGGCCACAUUGGAACUGAGACACGGUCCAGACUCCUACGGGAGGCAGCAGUGGGGAAUAUUGCACAAUGGGCGAAAGCCUGAUGCAGCAACGCCGCGUGAGUGAUGAAGGCCUUCGGGUUGUAAAGCUCUGUCUUCUGGGACGAUAAUGAUGGUACCAGAGGAGGAAGCCACGGCUAACUACGUGCCAGCAGCCGCGGUAAUACGUAGGUGGCAAGCGUUGUCCGGAUUUACUGGGCGUAAAGGAUGCGUAGGCGGAUACUUAAGUCAGAUGUGAAAAUCCCGGGCUUAACUUGGGAACUGCAUUUGAAACUGGGUAUCUAGAGUGCGGGAGAGGAGAGUGGAAUUCCUAGUGUAGCGGUGAAAUGCGUAGAGAUUAGGAAGAACACCAGUGGCGAAGGCGACUCUCUGGACCGUAACUGACGCUGAGGCAUGAAAGCGUGGGGAGCAAACAGGAUUAGAUACCCUGGUAGUCCACGCCGUAAACUAUGAAUACUAGGUGUGGGAGUUGUCAUGACUUCCGUGCCGCAGUUAACACAAUAAGUAUUCCGCCUGGGGAGUACGGUCGCAAGAUUA
rnacentral:rRNA from 1 species